CCCUUAGAUGUUCUGGGCCGCACGCGCGCUACACUGAUGCAUUCAACGAGUUUCUUCCUGGUCCGAGAGGAAUGGGUAACCUUUUGAAAGUGCAUCGUGAUAGGGAUAGACUAUUGCAAUUAUUGGUCUUCAACGAGGAAUUCCUAGUAGACGUAGUUCAUCAGACUGCAUCGAUUACGUCCCUGCCCUUUGUACACACCGCCCGUCGCUCCUACCGAUUGAGCGAUCCGGUAAAUGUUUUGGAUUGGUGCCGGGGCGGCUAGCUGCCGGUCGCUACGAAAUUUUGUGAACCUUAUCGCUUAGAGGAAGGAAAAGUCGUAACA
rnacentral:rRNA from 1 species